rnacentral:rRNA from 1 species
AUUGAACGCUGGCGGCAGGCCUAACACAUGCAAGUCGAGCGGAUGAAGGGAGCUUGCUCCUGGAUUCAGCGGCGGACGGGUGAGUAAUGCCUAGGAAUCUGCCUGGUAGUGGGGGAUAACGUCCGGAAACGGGCGCUAAUACCGCAUACGUCCUGAGGGAGAAAGUGGGGGAUCUUCGGACCUCACGCUAUCAGAUGAGCCUAGGUCGGAUUAGCUAGUUGGUGGGGUAAAGGCCUACCAAGGCGACGAUCCGUAACUGGUCUGAGAGGAUGAUCAGUCACACUGGAAGUGAGACACGGUCCCGACUCCUACGGGAGGCAGCAGUGGGGAAUAUUGGACAAUGGGCGAAAGCGUGAUCCAGCCAUGCCGCGUGUGUGAAGAAGGUCUUAGGAUUGUAAAGCACUUUAAGUUGGGAGGAAGGGCAGUAAGUUAAUAACUUGCUGUUUUGACGUUACCAACAGAAUAAGCACCGGCUAACUACGUG